CCCUAGUGGGUUCUCUCUCUCUCUCUCUCUCUCUCUCUCUCUCUGUGUGUGUGUGUGUGUGUGUGUGUGUGAGAGAGAGAGAGAGAGAGAGAGAGUGAGUGAGAGAGAGAGAGAAUGUGUAA